rnacentral:lncRNA from 1 species
AGUCAACAAAAGUAUGUCAAGCAGAGUUGCAGGUUUGUCCAUGUUGCUCAGUACACUCCUCAGCACUGCAUCUCCCGGAGGUUUGCUUCCCGGGUAAGUCGACCCUUCAAUGGGCUUCGUCUGUCCCCUGCAGUCCUGCACGCUAGGUUCGUUCCAUUCUGCCCCACUGAUACACACACAGACACAACAUAUCUUAGGACAGUUUUUGCUGCAAAACAUGACUGACGUUGCAUUUGCAGGAUGUUUGAUGUUGAGCUUACUGGUAAUGAACCGGCGAAAUCCCUUGGAAGAAGACACGGGUGCGGGUUGGAUCAACGUUGGAGUCAACCCAGUUGGCCCAGGUGGUUAGAGCCGUCUUGUAUGCUUCCAUGACAUCCAUGUCUUGGA